CUCGCAAGUCACAGGAGGCUGAAUAGAGUUACAAUCCUGCAGUGGGACCUAGACAACAUGCCUUUCUUGCUUUCUCAAUCUGUUCACCUCCAUGUAAUAUGUAUUUUUUGAGCUGGAAGAUCCUGAGCUUGUCCAUCAACUCCUUUCAACUUUACCUUUUUAAGGUUGGACCGCUUGAUGCCCUGAUAAGCCAGCAGCAAAUAUAUUUCUGUCAAUUCCUUUUAAAGCUGUAUGAUUGAAGCAUAGCCCCAAAGUAUUUUCUUUCGCCAAAGAUAGUCCCAAAUAUGCCCAUGAUUUUGUCACACAGAUGGUGUCACUACCAGACUCUGAGCUUUUGUGAGAGUUACAAAUUUGAGCUGACCAUUGCUUUGUUUUACAUGAAGGAUCUUGCUUCUUUACAUGUAUCAGCACCAGACAUGGCAUGUCGAGGGCCCGAACUUACCAUGUGAUUUUUUUGCAUUGAGAAGUUAGCAAGAGGUAUUACAUUCUACUCAGCUACUUACUUUUAUGUGGUUCGGUUCUAUACAAGAAAGAUGAGUGCGUUUCUUGGUCUGAGUUGUUUUCAUCUUACUAAAAGGCAUCCGGAUACUACAACUCUUUUUUUUUAAGAGAAGGGUAUUUUUACCCGGCCUCUAUAUCCACUCAGAUAUAUGUGGCUAUUUUUUUAUUUCAGAAACUCUGAGACACUCAGAUAUAUGUGGCCAUUUUUUUUUUAUUUCAGAAACUCUGAGAACUUAGCCCAAGUAGGGUAUCCACUCAGAUAUAUGUGGCCAAGCUCCUCAAAUAUCAAUCUGAAAUUCAUGUUCCUAUGGAGAUUUGAAAUCAGCACCUUGGGUGUUACUCAGUGACUGUAACCACUAGGCUACGUGCCCUU
rnacentral:lncRNA from 1 species